GAUGAACGCUGGCGGCGUGCCUAAUGCAUGCAAGCCGAACGGCCUGAUUUAUCAGGCAGUGGCGGACGGGUGAGUAACGCGUAAGAACUUACCCUAAAGUGGGGGACAACCUCGAGAAAUCGGGGCUAAUACCGCAUACGCUCCGCAAGGAGGAAAGCUACGGCGCUUUAGGAUGGGCUUGCGUCCGAUUAGCUAGUUGGUGAGGUAAUGGCUCACCAAGGCUUAGAUCGGUAGCUGGUCUGAUAGGAUGAUCAGCCACACUGGAAUUGAGAUACGGUCCAGACUCCUACGGGUGGCUGCCUGAGACUCCAAGGCACACAGGGGAUAGG
rnacentral:rRNA from 1 species